UGUCCAAUGCGGGAAUCGAACCCGGGUCGUAGUGGUCGAAAACCAAACGGUUUAACCAGCCUUCCACUGAUAUUCAUGAACCAAAAGAGGC